AGGAUUUGCUUAGGUGAUUAUGAAUACGAACCUUGGAAACUUCAACUUAUCAGAAGAAUCUGUAAUGUGCAGACUCUGUGGCUAUCACAGUCUUCUGUUGAAUUGUUUGGUCAUGUUAGUAAGAAUGAGCUCCCCAUGUUUCCGAACUUGACUCAUCUGGAGAUUGAAUUUGAACAUAGUAUGUUCCAGAUGCUAAAAUGUGCUCCUAAGCUAACACAUUUAACUGUGGAUGUGAAGCGGUCAUUAACGGUUAACAAUCUCCCAUUUCCAUCUGAAAUCAUACCUCCAUGUAUUUCAUCUAUUUCAUAUAUUGAGAUUCGAAGAUUCUCUUGAUUGGAAAUUGACACAAAACUGGUAAUGUACAUCUUAAAGAAUGCAAUGGUGUUAAAGGAGUUGAAAAUACACAUGCAUCGCGCAAGCAUGAAACGUGAAAGGGAUGCAUUCAAGCAGCUACUAAGCUUUCCUAGGAUCUCCUUUUGCGAAUUCAUUAUUUGUUCUUUCUGUGAAUCAGAAGCAUUGCCCCUUGAUUUCCCAAUUCCUUUUUUUUUUGAAAGGAAGUGUCACAGGGACAAUUGACUUUCCAUCUCUUAUCAAUAACCUCAGUAUGUGGAAUAAUUAACUCCAAUGUCCUCAUUUUGGAGGAAACUUUAAUGUUUUUAAUGUGAUUGAAGACAAUAUGCACUCUGUACA